rnacentral:rRNA from 1 species
AUUGAACGCUGGCGGCAGGCCUAACACAUGCAAGUCGAGCGAGCGGCGGACGGGUGAGUAAUGUAUGGGGACUGCCCGCUAGAGGGGGAUAACUACUGGAAACGGUAGCUAAUACCGCAUACUAUCGGAUAACCCAUAUGGGAUUAGCUAGUAGGUGGGGUAAUGGCUCACCUCGGCGACGCUCCCUAGCUGGUCUGAGAGGAGGAUCAGCCACACUGGAACUGAGACACGGCCCAGACGCCUACGGAGGCAGCAGUGGGGAAUAUUGCACAAUGGGCGCAAGCCUGAUGCAGCCAUGCCGCGUGUAUGAAGAAGGCCCUAGGGUUGGAAAGUACUUUCAGUCGGGAGGCGUUACCGGCAGAAGAAGCACCGGCUAACUCCGUGCCAGCAGCCGCGGUAAUUC